GGGCUCAACCCUGGCUCGCUUUGGAUACUGGUAAACUAGAGUUAGAUAGAGGUAAGCGGAAUUCCAUGUGAAGCGGUGAAAUGCGUAGAUAUAUGGAAGAACACCAAAGGCGAAGGCAGCUUACUGGGUCUAUACUGACGCUGAGGGACGAAAGCGUGGGGAGCAAACAGGAUUAGAUACCCUGGUAGUCCACGCCGUAAACGAUGAUCAUUAGUCGGUGGAGAGUUCACUGACGCAGCUAACGCAUUAAAUGAUCCGCCUGAGUAGUAUGCUCGCAAGAGUGAAACUUAAAGGAAUUGACGGGGACCCGCACAAGCGGUGGAGCAUGUGGUUUAAUUUGAAGAUACGCGGAGAACCUUACCCACUCUUGACAUCCUUCGCAAUGCUAUAGAGAUAUAGCGGAGGUUAACGGAGUGACAGAUGGUGCAUGGUUGUCGUCAGCUCGUGUCGUGAGAUGUUUGGUCAAGUCCUGCAACGAGCGCAACCC
rnacentral:rRNA from 1 species